UCUACGGGAGGCAGCAGUAGGGAAUCUUCCGCAAUGGACGAAAGUCUGACGGAGCAACGCCGCGUGAGUGAUGAAGGUUUUCGGAUCGUAAAGCUCUGUUGUUAGGGAAGAACAAGUGCAAGAGUAACUGCUUGCACCUUGACGGUACCUAACCAGAAAGCCACGGCUAACUACGUGCCAGCAGCCGCGGUAAUACGUAGGUGGCAAGCGUUGUCCGGAAUUAUUGGGCGUAAAGGGCUCGCAGGCGGUUUCUUAAGUCUGAUGUGAAAGCCCCCGGCUCAACCGGGGAGGGUCAUUGGAAACUGGGAAACUUGAGUGCAGAAGAGGAGAGUGGAAUUCCACGUGUAGCGGUGAAAUGCGUAGAGAUGUGGAGGAACACCAGUGGCGAAGGCGACUCUCUGGUCUGUAACUGACGCUGAGGAGCGAAAGCGUGGGGAGCGAACAGGAUUAGAUACCCUGGUAGUCCACGCCGUAAACGAUGAGUGCUAAGUGUUAGGGGGUUUCCGCCCCUUAGUGCUGCAGCUAACGCAUUAAGCACUCCGCCUGGGGAGUACGGUCGCAAGACUGAAACUCAAAGGAAUUGACGGA
rnacentral:rRNA from 1 species